UGCCACAACACAGUAUCACCAACCUGUGA
rnacentral:piRNA from 1 species